AUACGGAGGGUCCAAGCGUUAUCCGGAAUCAUUGGGUUUAGAGGGUUCGUAGGCGGGUCAAUAAGUCAGAGGUGAAAUCUUGCAGCUUAACUGUAAAAUUGCCUUUGAAACUGUUGACCUUGAAUUACUGUGAAGUGGUUAGAAUAUGUAGUGUAGCGGUGAAAUGCUUAGAGAUUACAUAGAAUACCGAUUGCGAAGGCAGAUCACUAACAGUAUAUUGACGCUGGUGAACGAAAGCGUGGGUAGCGAACGGGAUUAGAAACCCCAGUAGUCC
rnacentral:rRNA from 1 species